AGGAGUGUGAAGGAUGCACACAGAAGCUGGUCUGAUGCAAGAUGACACAGGCCGAGUGGGGAGAGACCAUUCUAACACAGGUACCGUCCAGACAGUGCCUCUGAGAAAGGGAACCUAAAGGCGUGUUUCCGACGCACCCCAGGUCCCCGUAACGGCCAUUAGCAGUACCCUCACGAUGUCCCAGCAGCCUCCCACCUGUGACCUGGCCGCUCCAUGGAAGAACAGCCGGGGAACUCCUGAGCAGACACCUCACAUCCCGAGCCGCUGCGCUGGAGUGGAAACUGAAGGCAGAUGCCUCUCCUUGUUAAACGUUCAGAAAUAAAUGAAGAUGCUGUAUUCUAGAAAUACAUGUAGAUACUAUAUACGCAUUUACGUGCUCAUCGUCCAUAGUCCCAUAUUUUCUUAUAAUAAACAGUAGUACUGGCAGGCACAGUAGGGGCACAAGGCAUCUUAUCUUAUUCAAGACAAGUUUGAGACACUGGAAAAAAAGAUACUUGUUGUGUGUGUUGGACAGAGUGGCGAGGCUGAGCACUGUCACAGGGGCCUCCCAUGUUAAGAGGGACUGUGGAGAUGAUGUCAGAACAAGCCGUGGUGGAUUUGAGGUUGAUCGAGUAUUAAUACUACUGCCUCUCCUUGUCUUAGUGGGUAUUUAAAAUAGUAAGAGAGAGGAAGGAGGUGACGUUCAGGUGCUGUGGGAAGCAGGCUUGGCGGAGGGGCAUGAUGAUGAGACCCUCAUUGUUCACUGGCUCCAUCGCACUCCUCCCUGGGGCCGUGUGCCUGUUCCAUUCUUCCCACCAUUCGAACUGAGCGAAUCCGGCAAAGGAGACACGUCUGUGGGAAUGCGUAGAUUCCGCCUCGGAAGAGGGCUAGCGCAACACUAAGAAAAGCAGGCUUCUUGUUUAUUCUCAGGACCUUUUUGUAACAGGGCUACAUUCUGCAAACUGCUUACAAAGGAAGACUAUACGUCUUAACAAAUUAUUUAGCCACUGAGUCCUCCCGAUUCGGACCUGUUUUAGUAAUGGCAGAAGAAUCCCUGAGCAGGUUCAGGUGCCCUAGAUGACUAGGGUGCUGAGCUCUGGCGCCUUCUGUCCCCACUCUUUGCCUCCCCGCCCCUUCCCUGAGCCACCCCAGCAAGUGGGUGUCUUUUCUCCCUGGGCCUGGUGACCUCCACAGGAUGAGUGACUUUGUUCAUAAAGUGUGGGGAUCACCAGCCCCUUGGGUGGGGGACGGCUUUAUAUACCUCUUCCUCAGUAAUGCAAAUGCGAGUUUUUGUGGUGGGGGUUAAGGCCCAUAGCAGAGGAUCUUAAACCAUGCAGUGUACACAAUUGAAAUGGUAUUCCACAGAUAUAAAUAUUUUCUUUUCCCAUUGCCGUGACACUAUGUGUGAUGGUAAUAUUUCUGAGAGUUUCAGAUUUUUGCACAUAUGAUUUUAUGCAUUAUCAAAAGUUACUGCUGCCUUGAAUGAAAAUGUUCUGUGAAAUUUUUUGCAAAAGCUUUACUAGGUUUUUUUUUUAAUUGUGAAAUUUUGUAAAGGCAGGAAGUGGAUUAAAACGAGCAUGCUAAAUAUAUUUUUCAAAGAAGCAAUAAUUUUACAUGUACAGAAAUUAUCCUAACCUUUAAUACUGGCGAGAGCAACAGUUUACUUAAUACGGUAAUGGACUAGUGCAGUUUUUGUAGACAGUGGGCUUCUGAUACAAAGUCUUGUUUAAACACAGACACACACACACACACAAACACACACACAUACACCCUAAAGUGUGGGUUUCCUGUUCUAAUGAUUUGUUGAAUAUUAUUAUUAUUAUAUUAUUAUUAUUAUUAUUGUUAUUGUUAUUAGUAAUGUUUGGUUCUGGAUUCUACUUGUUACUGAGUUUAAAUUACUUGACGGUUCAGGUUACUUUGCAACACUUUCAAACGAUGCAAUGUAACUG
rnacentral:lncRNA from 1 species